CCGGGAAACUGGUGAUAAUUCCGAAUAAACCAUUAUUGCUGGAAUGCUUUUUGGUUCAAAGACUUCGGUUGCCUAAGGAUGGAUCUGCGGUCUAUCAGGUAGUAGUGGGUGUAAGGUACCUACUAGCCUACGACGGAUAUGGGUUGUGAGAGCAAGAGCCCAGAGAUGGAUUCUGAGACAUGAAUCCAGGCCCUACGGGGCGCAGCAGGCGCGAAAACUUUACAAUGCGGGAAACCGCGAUAAGGGGACACCGAGUGCCAGCAUAUUAUGUUGGCUGUCCACAUGUGUAAACGGCAUGUGUUAGCAAGGGCCGGGCAAGACCGGUGCCAGCCGCCGCGGUAACACCGGCGGCCCGAGUGGUAAUCACUUUUAUUGGGUCUAAAGGGUCCGUAGCCUGUUUGAUCAGUUCUUCGGGAAAUCUGACAGCUUAACUGUUAGGCUUCCGGGGAAUACUGUCAGACUUAGGACCGGGAGAGGUAAGAGGUACUACAGGGGUAGGAGUGAAAUCUUGUAAUCCCUGUGGGACCACCAGUGGCGAAGGCGUCUUACCAGAACGGGUCCGACGGUGAGGGACGAAAGCUGGGGGCACGAACCGGAUUAGAUACCCGGGUAGUCCCAGCCGUAAACGAUGUUCGCUAGGUGUCAGGGACGGUGCGACCGUUUCUGGUGCCGCAGGGAAGCCGUGAAGCGAACCACCUGGGAAGUACGGCCGCAAGGCUGAAACUUAA
rnacentral:rRNA from 1 species